rnacentral:lncRNA from 10 species
GAAGAUGACGUCUAGAGGAGGUGACAUUUUUAGAGCUGGAUUUAAAGGAUGGGUUUGGACUUCAGCUAAUAUACAAAGAGACAUGAGCUUUCUAUGAAUUUUUGCCCAUUUGAUGGAUGAAAAUGAGAUUAUCAUUUGAUUUGUGUUUCUGUGUAAGGUCGUACAUCUUUUUGAAUGUUUACAGGCCAUUUGUAUUUCUUUUUCACUGAACUACCUGGUCAAAUUGAUUGGACAUUUUUAUUUUGAGUUGUUCAUUUUUUUUGUUUUUGAUUGAUUUGGAAUAACUCUUUAUAUAUGGAGGAAACCAAGGGAAUAGUAUGUGCUAAUACACAAUGAUAUGAAAUAGUACAGUGUGCUUGAAAAGCAUUAGGUUUAGCCUAAUUUUGAGAGACAUAGUUGAAGAUAGAGCUAAGCAGGGAGGCAAAUGCUAGUUCCUAAGGAGCUUGGACUUUAUUACACAGGACAUAGGAGCUACAGAAGCGUUUAGAGCAGGGAAGGGAUGUGAUCGAAUGUGUAUUGUUGAAAAUUACUUUGAUAAGGGACAAUAAUGGACAGAGUGAAGAGCUAGAAGGGACAAAUUGAGGCCAGAAAGUACAGGAGCUUGAAUGUCCCCUGAAGAGUGUCUACCUGGUUUGGUGGGCAGUAGGGAGUCACAGAAGGUUCUGGGGCAUGGCAACAUGGCAAAACCAUGUACCAGUUUCUUGAGCAUCUUUGUCAGAGACAAC